UAACAAAAAAUAUUAGGAGACUGGGGGAACUGGGUUUAUUAGACUGGAGAAGAGAAGAGUGAGGGGGGAUUUGAUAGCAGCUUUCAACUAUCUGA